CUCAAACGCCGCUUUGAGAACAGCCGCAAAGAGGCUCCCGCUGGGAGCUCUGGGCAAGACCCCGCUGUCGGGAGCGGAGCCGAACGGUCCCUGCGGUGGUCCGAGGCCGGAUCCCGGCACGUCCGGCUUGGUGCAAGCCCUGCGCCGGGCUCGCGGGUCCCCCGUUGCCUCCCCGUCGUCACAAGAGGCUGCAGACGAGGGACUCGAUCCGGCUCCUCUUGCGCCGCCGGCGCGCAGCCGGCUCCGCCGCGGGGCUGGGAGGGAGCAAAGCCGGCGGCGGCAUUACCGCGGUCCGGGGGCGCCCGGCCCGGCGGGAUGCAGCCUACGGAGCACCGGGGAUUUCCCGGCGGCCACCCUCAGACCUGUUCCCCUCGCUACAGUGGGAAGCGGUCGGGAUGCGGAUGCUCCGAGAUGUGUCGGGGCCCCAAACCCUGCAUGCGGGGCGUAUCCGGCUUCGAGACCCCUCGUCCCCGGGGUGCAGCCCUCCCGGCCGCUACCUUCGUGGGUGCUGGCUCGCGCUCCCCCGCGGCGCCGCCAGCUCCGGGGCCUGCGCUCCCAGCCGGAGGGGGUCGUGCUCGCCGGCGCCUGCAAAAUGCAGCGGUGCAAAUGCAGCUGCGUUUUUAAGGGAAGGCUUAUUCCCAGCCAGGGCUGCCUGAAGCUUUUUCUCUUUCACCAAAGGACUUUUUGCAGGUUUUUUUUUUCCUCCUACUUACGUCUUGGCGACAGCCGGAGGCUCCCGUUUGGGAAACAACUGCAGAAAAAGUCCACGUUAUCCAAUAUAACCCCGUGCUCCCUUUCUUCCAUGAGGUCUCCGCUUCCCAAACCAGGAAAACAUGAAGAAAUGCGGCCCUGAGGUUUAAUGAUGUGAAAAUCCCCCCCACACCCCGUUGUAUCCCUGCCAAACUGCGCUCGGCUCCCCAAAUUCUGGUUUGAGCUGCCGUGACACCUACGCUCCCCGGUAUUACGCAGCCUUGAAGAAAAUCUAGCAUGUAGCAACAGCCAAAACUAUUUUCGUCCCC
rnacentral:lncRNA from 1 species